rnacentral:lncRNA from 1 species
UUUUUUUUUUUUUUUUUUUUUUUUUGUGAUUGAUAAAAUCUAGUACUUGGACGUAGUUUUGUGAUCCACCACAACAACCUUCAUAAACUGCAGAGUAAUUUUUACAUGUGGCAUCAGGCAUGUUUUAAACCAUACUCUAUGCAUGAAAGUCUUCCAAUUUUGUUCAUACAGAUCCAUGUCUUCAUUGAAUCAUCUAAGCAUGAAACUCUAAAGUAGACGUGAAGGGAUUUCCCACGUUUAAAGUACUCGAUAACCUUUAAAUGAUUUGCCUGUAAGUGUGAAGAGAGAAAGCGCAAAAGAAACUCUUCUUUAGUUGUUGAGAUUAGGAGUUCCAUAAAGACAGACAAACCGUUGAACUUGCCAAAAUGUGUGCUGCAUCACUUUCUUUUCCGGCUAAACCUUCUGUAAAAGUUGGCAAUGGCAAUUUCUUGCCCUACAGAUACAGAAAAGGAACCGUAAGAGCAGAAGUGCUGAUAGCUGAUCCCAAGAGGGGUGAACGCAUCUUUCCAGAACUGACAAUUCAAGGAAUUCCUCACAGUGAUCACCAUAUACAUGAGAUUGUCCAGAGGCAAUCGGAAACAAGUGGCUUUUCAAGAAAGGAUGCUCUCAGAAGACCUCAGUUCCCCCCUAUGUUUCUUGAAGAAGCAUAUGAACGAUGCAAGAAAAUCUGCGCAGAAUACGCCAAAACAUUCUAUUUAGGUACUCUCAGGAAUCCCUUCUCUUUGAAAAUCUCUUUCUGAUAAUAACAUACCCGAGGUGAUUAACAUAAUCCGAACCUUACCAAAAUGUGCUUGUGAUCAAUUGCUGCAUAGAAAAUAACAAAAAAAUAAAGCAGACAAGAGAAAAAGAAAUUUGUAUCCAUUUGUUUUGUGCAUCAGUGUAGAGAUUUUCACAACUCAUCAUACUUUGCUACCUUGAUAUCCCUGGCAUAGGAUUGAUGGCAUGCCAACCUUGUCACCACUGGGGACCAUUUCCCGGAGUUCUUGCAUAAAAUGUUUUUGUUAUAACUAACUAGAUAAUGAUAUUGUCUUCUUGAACAAUUCAUAAAAUUAGGCCUCAUAUAUAUGUUGCUCAUGCAGGGACAAGACUCAUGACAGAGGAGAGACAGAAAGCAAUAUGGGCUAUCUAUGGUGAGCUCUUGUUUAAUAUUGGUAGUCCAAAAAAAUUAUGGAAGCAGCAUAGUGAUUAGAUUAACCAUUGAGUACUGAGUAGCAUGUAAUACAGAAGCAUAUCUAUUCACAUCCUAUAUAUGCUCUCUUCUUCUUCUCACGAUGAAAUUGUUGUUCUGUAGUCUGGUGCAGGAGGACAGAUGAUCUGGUUGAUGGACCCAUUGCUGUCUACUUAAGCUCUGCUGCUCUUGAUAGAUGGGAAAAGAGAACAGAAGACAUCUUCAAUGGACGCCCCUAUGAUUUGCUCGAUUCUGCACUUACUGAUACUGUAUACAAGUUCCCUUUGGACAUCAAGGUACUAAAUAAUUGAGAUUGAAAACACAAUUUGACUGCUCUUUAACCUGUUAAACAACAUAUAUUAUUUUCCGUUUCCAGCCCUUUAAGGACAUGAUAGAGGGAAUGAGACUGGACACAUGGAAAAGCCGGUAUGCAAAUUUUGAGGAGCUCUACCAGUAUUGCUACUGUGCAGCUGGAACUGUUGGUCUAAUGAGUGUCCCAGUAAUGGGGAUUGCACCAGAAUCCCAUUUAUCUUCUCAAAGCAUCUAUGAUGCAGCACUUUCUUUGGGCAUAGGCAAUCAACUGACAAACAUACUCAGAGAUGUUGGUGAAGAGUAAGUAUUUAUCAGUUACUAAACAGUAUGUCUUCCCCAAUUCUUGAUAAAUUCCUUAUUCUGAUUGGUGAACAUCAUUCAUUAUUCCGGUCAGUGCUCAGAGAGGGAGAGUUUAUCUUCCGCAAGACGAACUCGCACAGUUUGGACUAUGUGAUGAUGAUAUCUUCUCAAGAAAGGUCACAGAUGGAUGGAGAGAGUUCAUGAAAAAACAGAUUCGACGUGCAAGGUUCUACUUCAAUCAGGCUGAGGAAGGAGCUUCACAGCUUGACAAGGCUAGCCGUUGGCCGGUAAUUUCUUGCAAAAGAUGGCAUAACUUUCUCAUCCAAAAGGAAGAUUAAUGAAUCAACUAACAGUUUAUCGCAAUAAUUAUCAAAUUAUAGAUUUCAUCAUCGCAGAAAGAAUGGAUAGUAUGUCAUCUUGCAAGUAAUUACUUGGUCUGAUUGUUGCAGGUCUGGUCAUGCUUGAUAAUAUACCGCAAGAUCUUGGAUGCAAUAGAGGAAAAUGCCUAUGAUAAUUUGACAAAGAGAGCUUAUGUAGGGAGGGCUAAGAAGCUUCUGACAUUACCUCAAGCUUAUACUAGAGCUCUAUCAAUGUCCAAUUUGGCCUUCCAAUCAAAUCUUUCAUGUGAAAAACACAUAACUGGAGGUCAAUAACCUCCAAUCGUUUCAUAGUGAUACGCAAACCAGCUGAAACAGGAAUUUAUUGUCAGUCAGUCUUUGAAUUCAUGUUGAUCAAUCUUUGCAACACUUGAAAGAUCAAAAAGUAAGGAAACACAAAUAAAGAGGGGAAAAAAGUGCCAAGCAAAAUGGGGUUUUUUUUUUCUUAGAAUUAAUCUCCAUGGGUGAGAUUUUCUUCUCUUCAUAUAAAACACCAGCUGGCAAGAAAUUCUUUGUUCAUCUUCUUCCUUUUAAUGCUCUGAACUUGUCAAUCUGGAAUUUUAAAUAAAAACAAAGAUAAAAAAUCACCAUAUGUGCCAAUUAUAUAAACGUGUUCACAAAAUGACGGAGUGCGAGAUUUCUUUGAACAUAUAAAAGCGAACAAAUUUUUCGAUUUGACAUAUUUAGCUGUUCUCAAUUUAAGGCUAAAUAUCUUGUAGUCUUUAGUGGUACAAUUGACAACUUUGUGCGGCAAGAAGAUGGCAUAAUUUAAACUGAGGAAGACUUGGUUUAGCGACUAAUAUUGUGAGACUAGGACUUAGAAAUCCUAGAUUCAAAUCUCCUUCCUCCUUCCCAAUUCUUAAAUCCUUUUCUCCUUUUAUUAGAAAUUUUUUUUUUCUAAAAAAAGAGAGAGAUAGCAUAAUUUAAUCUAUGGGCUUGAUCUCAACUGAUUCUAUUUUUGUAAAAGCUGAUUUUGUAAAAUUGAUUCUUGAAAAUCAUAUAUUUUCAAAAUAACUCACGUGUUCUAGUUUAUUAGUUUAAAAAAUAGUUUUUAAAAAAUCUACAGGUGUUCUCAAGAAAAAGUUAGAAAAUUGAUUUUGUCAAAAAAAAGAGAGAUCAAAUUACCCUUAUAUGCUACAUAAAUGAAUUUUUGUACUAAUUAAAUAAUUUUUUAUGUAAUUAAUGGCUUUUCUUAUGGAGAUUAAAUGUUGAAUGAGAAAAAGAGAGAAGACAUAGAUGAAUUUGGAGGUGGACUGAGGAUAGGAGGAAGAUAGGGAGACGUGCGACAUAGAAAAAUUACAAACUAAAUCAGAUUAUUCAUUGACUUUCAGGGUGACCGUACAAUCUAGAUUGUUUACAUUUUAAAUCAAAAUAGAAAUAUUAUUUUGUUAAAAAGCAGAGUCAUUUGCAAAGAAAAAAGCAAAAGUUCAAUAUGGUAUCAAGUAGUACAAAUUUCUAUCAAAAUGUCUCCAUUGAAGUGAAAGGAAAAGAACUAUAGGCAAUAGCCCCAAUCAUCAACUUAAGAAAUCUAUGAAAUUGUCUGAAAAAUUAUGUUCAAUUAUCAUCUACUAUAGCAAUUUCCUACCAUUUGUUCUAUUCUAUAAAAAUUCAUCUCAUUCAUCAUGCUGUACCUAAGAAUUUACAAUAUUCUGAAAUUGUCCAUGAACAACAAAAGAAUUAUUUUUUUUUUGUAGUUUUGUCAAGUAACUUUUUUUUAGUAACUUACAUCUUUACCUUCACAAAAUAAACUUAAAAAACAUCCAAAAGACAAUGAAAAAAAUUGUGAUCUAUGAGAAAAAUCUAGUGUGUAAUCUCAUAAAAUUCUACCUUAUGGGGUUUGUAAAUAGCCAUUCAAAAUGUUUUCAGAAAAUUCCACAAAACAGUCCCAAAACCAAUCCAUGCGUAUCGUUGCUUAUUUAAGUUCCCAUAGCAAAAUCAAUUCGCCUUAAAGCUUACCCUUAGUAUAAGAGUAUUAUAUUGAACAUUUUCCAAAUAUAAUCACUGUGAGUAUGCGAUAUGAUUAGAACUAUGUAAGUAAGAAAUGUUAAAGAAAGAGAAAAAGAAUACACAUCAAAAAGCUAUAUUCAUGAAGAGAAGAUACUAAAUAAACAAAAGAAUAAUUAGGAUUGUGUAGUUGCUUUAAAAUUUGCUAAUAAUAGACAACUUCUUUAUCCCAACCAAAGAUAAUAGAUGAAAAAGAAAACUAAUUAACCAAUAUAAGUAUGCAAAAUAAAUCAAAGUUUAAAAUAUGCACUUUAUUAUAUACAAUAUAGAAAAGUGUUCUACACAUGCCAUGUUUGAUAAUCCAAUUCAGAAUUUAAAUUUAAUGUAUUCAAAUCUUAAUAUAUUCAGGUACAUUUGAUAACUAAAACUAAAAUAUUUGAAUUCAUUAAGUGACACUGAAUUUUUUAAGGAAAAUUUGCUCCAAAAAAUAAGUAAUAAACUAUUUACUUAUCACUUAAUGUAAUAUACACUCAAAUAUAUCAAAUUUAAUACUUAAAAAUUCACUAAUUUAAUGGAUUUAGAUUUUAUAUUUCAAACUUCAAAAUUUAGUUUUCAGAUUUUAGUUUUAUCAAACGUACCCUUAGUUUUAGGCUCUUCUUUAAACCUAUUAGGUCAAAGUAUAGGCUUGGAUGCAUGAAAAUUAUAUAUAUAUAUAUAUAGUUCAAGUUUAUGGUUUUAGUUCAAGCCCUAUCCUCUGUCAUGUAUAAAGAAUGGAAUAUUUGAAUUAGUGAAAACAUAAAUAAUUGAGUCAAAGUUGAGAUGAUGUGUUAGGGAAGUUUGGUACUUUAUAUUAGUUCAAAUAAUUAGAAAAAAAGCCUAAUAAGAAGUGUCCUAAUUUCAAAGAGUAAUGCUCACAUAGAGGAAAACAUAAUAGUAAUGUACUACUAUAAAAAUAUUUAUAAAAUGAAAAUUUUGAGAUUGUAUUUUUAUGUUGUUCAAAUAUUUUUUCUAGAAUAAUAUCACGAUAGAAUUGAAUUUCGUGACUUCAUUAACACAAGAUUUUGUUAAACAAAGUCAUGAACUAAGAGUUUAACAUACAAUUGAUACAACAAUUUCCUAUGUGCAGUCUUAAAAAAUGAAAAAAUGAAAGAUAAAUUUUAUAAUAAAUGAAUAAAAGAAAAAUGUAUGUUUUGUUACAAGAUAAGAAAAAGAUUAAAUAUUUAGUUUGAUUACGCAAGUUAGAAUAUAUGAGCAUCUAUGUAGUUUUUUUAAUGUCCAUUCUGAAAAAUUGAUGGGAAACACACCUUGCAUUUUGGGAGAUCCGAUUUCUUGCAAGAAUGUUAGAUUUUCUAGGAAAAGCAAAUAGAUCAAAAAAAAUUGGGAAAAGCAAAGAGAUGAAAAAAAAUUGGGUUUGUUACAGUAUUUUUAUUCUUUUUUUAAAAAAAAAUUUGAUGCUCUAUUCAAAUCAUGAGAAAUGGGAAAUUUUCCUUAAUUUAGUAUUCAACACAUUAGAUUUUGGGUGAAUUUCAAUUUGGCCUUUCAAAGUAGACCAAAGUGUCAAUUUAGCCCCUAAAAGUGAUUUAACUCCCAAUUAAGCCCUUCAAAGUGGAAAUCUGAUUCCAAAUAAGCUUUUUCACCAUUUGAUAUUUGGUCAAUAAAAUUUGACAAUACUUUAGUAGUAAAGUGAAACCCUACCUAUUUUUUAGGGACUUUAAAACAAUUAAUUUCUUGCCUAAAUGAUCUAAAAGGGAUAAAAUAUUGCUCUUCUAAUCUUAAAAAAAAAUUCUGAUGCUAUUUUUAGUGUUCCAAAUCUGGUUAGAAGAGUAUUAUUCUAUUCCUUUUGGAUCAUUUAAGUGAGAAGUUAAUUGCUCAAAAGUAAGUAAAAAUUAUUAGAUUUCACUAUACCACUAAGGUUUAAUUAAACGUUAUUGAUCAAAUGUAAAUUGACAGAAGGUCCUAUUUAGAACAAAAGUUCCAGUUAAGAGGGCUUAAUUGAAACUUGUUCACUUUCAUGGACCGAAUCAAUACUUUGGUCUAUUUCAAAGGGCUAAAUCGAAAUUUGCCCUUUAAUUUUUUACAAUUUCGUUUAUUUGGUGUUCAGAUCAUUGAAUUUUCACCGUUAUUUUUAGUAAAAUGCACCAAUUCUAAAGAUGUUUCUUUAGUUUGGUGUUAUAACAAGUGUCCAUAGGGCAUUCAUUAGAAAAAUCGUUAAUUAUUAGAUAGUUAUAGCUAUUUUUGUUAAGGUUAAUAAAAGAUUAAGGUAGUUGGGGGAAUCUUUCUUAACAUUUAAUUAUUCACUAUAAUUUUGGUAAAGUUAGGAAAUUUUAACCAUCGUCUAAUUUUUUGGUAACGUUUAGAAAUUUCGGUUGUUAAGGACUAAAGUUUUUUUUAAGAAAAAACUAUUUUUAGAUUGACACAAAAGGAAUUAAUGAUACUAAAUUAGCAGUAGAAGGCGCUAAUUCAGAAAACAUGUUUAGCUUUUUUCUAGGUUAACUCACCUAUAUAUGAGUGUGACUAGCUGUUAAUUUGUCUACUUCUUUUGCAUUUGAAAAUUCUACACUACAGCCUCUUAAAUCCCACGGCAAACCAUGAGGAGUUACUCUAGUUUUGCAACUGCGAUUGUUCUUCUCUUCAUCACAGUCGGUAAAGAAUCUCAUUACUUCUCUUUUUUUUUUUUUUCCUUAAAUGCCUGUUUUGCUGUUCUUCAUGAAUAAUACGAGGAAGAUACUAGUUUUGAUUAGAUUACAGUGUAGAAUCAUAGAAGACACAAUAGACACUUUUUAAUAUUAUGAUUUUUAGUGCACUUCAACUAUCAAGGCAUGUCAUUUUCAACUACUACAAAAGAGUAUCCAACUAUUGUUUCAAGAGCUUAAAUUAAAUCCCAUAAAAUCUUUCUCCAGUAGUUUCGUCUUCUCUAUUUUCUAUAAAAUUAUUCCUUUGUAAGAAGACUAUUCAAAGAGUAAAUAAGAAGUUAAAUAGUUUCCAACUAGAAAUGUCAAUGGGUCAAAUCUUAUGUAGAUCCAACCCAAACCUAAUAUAAUUGGAUAGGAUUGGAUUUAAUUUCUCAAAUUCAAACUCUACCUAGAGAGUUAUAAGCCUGAGUAGGAUCUGAUUUUUUAUGAUCCAUACCUAAAUAUAGAUCCAACCCUACUUAGACUCAUGUAUGAAUAAAUAAUAGUGUGUGUAUAUACACAUACGUGUGUGUGUGUAAGUAAAGUUAUAAAAUAAUAUAAUAUUUUAUGACCAUUAGAUCGAAUAUAGUAAGAUUUCAUGACUGCUAGAUUAAAGGAGAAAAAAUAAAGGUAAACAAAUGAAAGAUUGGAUGUGAGUGCAAAUGAAAUUUUAAAGAUAAAUAGAAAUAGUUGAAAAUAAUUUUUUCUUUGAGUUCAUAAUAUUACAUUCAACUUCUUGAAUGUUAAUUUUGUUAUUUGAAAAUAAAAUUAGCUGGUAUUUAUGUUUUUUGGAGCUCUAUAUAUUUUUAAAUAAUUUUACUUUAGUUGUUCAUUGAAUGUUCAGAAAAUUACCCACAGAUACCUAUUGAAUACCAAAAUCCAUGAGGGUUCGAGUCUGAAUUUACUUUUUCAGAUCUAAUUAAAUUUAAUUCUAGAUCUAGAUCAAAGGAAUCCAAUCCAGACGCUACCCAUUAACAUAUCCAAUUCCAACAACAAUAGAACAAGAUAUAUUUAUACACACUUGCAAAAACUGACUUUUUUAAGACAAUGGCAAUUAGGGGUUUUCUUAGUUACUUGCUUUAACAAUAUUCUCAAAUUUCGUUUUCCAACUUUUGAAUGAUCAAAUGUAGGGAAUGGAUCAGUGUCAAAGGUGGACGCAAUAAGUAGAGAAUGUGCAGUCAUUAUUCCUACUGGAAAAACAUGUAACAGCAAUACUUGCAAUGCGGAAUGUUUGAAAGAACAUGGAGGAAAAAACCAAACAAUAGCUAGCGGAUUCUGCUCCAGCUAUAAUCCUGACCAGUGUCUCUGCUUCUUUUGUUGCUUUCCCCAUUGUGGUCUGAAAGACAUCAUGGAAAUGGCAAAAAAGAAACUGGGAUAAAAUUCAUGUCCAUUGCUAUCUUGGUUCAGUUGAUGUUUGUUUUUGGUUUUUUUGGUGAUGCUCACGUUAGAUGAGCAGGAAUUGACCAAAUGGCAAUAAAAGAUAACUUUCUAAGUCUUUUUUUUUUUACCAAUUUACCCUACUCUCUUUCUUCUUUUAGUGUGAAUCAUUUAUUUGCUUUUGAUAUAUUAAAUGUAAAUAAAUUACUGAAUCCCUAGUUUGGACAAUUGAAGUUCUUUCUUGCAUAAUGGUCCAGAGAAGGCGUGGGUGAAGUUCGUGUGGAGGCGUGAUUCUUAAUGCUAUCUUAUUGUAGCCAAAAUCGAAAAGUCAAUCCACGCUUUUUAAUAGGAAGGAGGGGAGGCUUAAAUUUGUGGAGCAAAUACUAAAGCACGUAUUUGUAGUUGGUAUGCAACUAAUUUUCAGUUUGAUUGUCCAUAAUGCAUAUGUUUCUUAACGAAUUUAGUCUACAGAGAUGAUCCACAUGGACAAAAAUCUAUGCGAAUUUUAUGAACUUAUGUUUAAUAAUAGUGAAUUAUGAGUUUAUGACAGAUAAAACAAGGAUCUAUUCUAAAUCAAAACUGAGUUUGGGGUUAUCUUGUUUGCAAAAAAAUUAAUUUAGGGAAUCAGUGAUAAUGCCAGAGUUUCAUUAUAAGCCCAACCCUUUUUUGCAUGCUCAUUCUGUGCCCCUAGAUUACAUAAUUGAGAAAAGCAAAAGAAAACAUAUUGCUGUAGUAGUGCACUGCACAACUAUACAUAAAACAACAUUACUUUGUCCCUCAAGUGGUGAAGAUACUUAACAAUUGAAGUAGUCGAAUCUCUUAUUCUUUUGAUGUAAGCAAAAACUUUUAUUACUAAACUUGCUGAAAAUUUCCUUUUUCAAAAUUUUUUUCCUUCUUCUAAUUUCUUCUCCUUUUGCACAGAAGGCUUCUAUUUUCUUCCUCUUCCAUUUUCUUCUCCAUUAUCCCAAUCGCACUACUAAAUUUUCAAGGUGAAAGUGAAUGCUGCAGCAUUCUUCUUUCGAAAAGUCAAUUGUCAACCUUCCCGCUCAUCUAUUUCAACUUAUUUUGUCUAGGGGUAUAAAUGAGUCUGAAUAAGCUAAACAACUUUUUUAUCCAAAUUUGUUUGAUUUUUUUGAUGAGUUUAAAAUUAUGUUCAACCUUGACUUGUUUACUUUUUUUAGUUGAGCUUAAAUGAGUUUUUAUCAAGUUGAAUUCAAGUAGUUUAUAUAUAAAAUUUCACUUUCAUGCUAAUCAAAUUGAGCUUGAGCUAAACUUGAAAGUUUAUUAAAUACAAAAUGUUAUUCAAGUGUGGUUUGAUUAGUUAGUAAACCAAACUCAAACGAGCUUUUCUUAAACUAAAUUAUCGAGUAACUUGAUUCGUCUUUCAAUCUUAUUUAAGACUAUAAAAAUUAGUUUUUCAAAUACUAUAAAAUAUUUUCAAAAAUACUCUAAAAGGUACUCUAAAAAAUAGUCUUAAUUUUUUUAAUGUUUAAAAAAUAUUCCAAAAUAUAUUCUAAAAAUCCUACUACUCUUAAAUAUUCCAAAAUAUUUUUUAAAAAUAUUCCAAAAUAUACUCUAAAAAGUCUGAUACAGUAAAAUUUUUCAAAAAUACUCUAAAAAAUAGCUAAUCCAAACGGAGCCAUUUAAUGUUUUUCAUUCGAAGUCCAUGUCCAAUUCUCUGUAAAAAACGCAAGAAUGGAAACUUAACUAAAAGCCCACGAGCAUUCGACGGGUACGCUGAAUAUCUUUGCAGCCCAAUGCAGAUGGAGUGUCCAAAAAUUAAAAUACUAUACAAAAAUUUAUUUGAGUAAAAUUAAUUGUGCAUGAUCAAAUAUACAUAAAAAAAAAGUCUUUUCUGGCCAGAUUAGAGCUGGUUUAACAAGUAAAAUUUGGGUAUUUCGUCUAGAGAAGGUUAGAUUCUAAUUCUGAUUUGGUAGGUAUUUGCGCGUGUGUGGAUACUAUUGGACAAAUAUCAGUUAAGAUCUUUGGAUGUUUAUUGAAUAAGUAUUAAAUGCUUUUUUUGAGAUUAAAGGUCACUUGCUUCCAUUAUGUGAUUUUGAGAUCUAUAAGAUUUGUUUGGACGGAUACUACUUACAGCAGUUAUAAGGGCCACUAAGUAAUUCAAAAUCCUCUGGAAUGGAGGGUGUUCUUAGUUUUAACAUUUUUUAAAGGGCUCAAGUUGAGUAAUUCUUUUUCAAGGUUUAAGUUCUUUUCCAUCUCUGGAUCAGUUAAGUGCAAUUUGACAUUUCCACUUCUGCAUUCUUUGCAAAGAAUACCAAAACUCAGAUUGUCCUGAAAUGGUUCUGUUAAGUUGUUUACAGUUAUUAUAGCAAGGGAAUACAUUAAUACAGGUAAUGUGAUGCAUGAACACACUACAGUGACAAAAUGUUCAGUCAUUAUUUGAUCAUGUUGCUUGCACGAUAAUAGUUUGAAAUGUCGAAUGAUGAAAUAUGAUUUUCAUCGACAGUAAAAUAGGGUGGAGCUAAAUCCACACCUCUUUAGUCUAAAUCCACACCCUUUACACCAAAAUGUCUAUAAAGCUCAAACUAUUUAUCAGGAUUUCAUAGGAACUCUUUCAAUACCAAACCUAACCUUUUGUGGUGAAAAAAGAUGAAGUCAAUCAAGUUUAUCUUUUUCCCCACUUUACAGUAUCAUUUUAUCGUCCUUGUCCUUACCUUCCAAUACCGAAGACUUAUAGUGGCAACUAUCAUCAUCAACUAAAAUGCACUAGAGUAUAGCAAACAUUUAUAAAAAAAUUAUUAUUGAUAAUAAAAAAAAACAAAAAUUUCAGGAUCAAAUUGAAGAGUGAUACUUGAUUUUCAAAUAUCUACUGAUAAUAAAAAAGAAAACAAAUGAUGAUCAUGGCAAUGAUUUCAUAUUCACUUGGAACUAGAAGUUUGAAGUUCUUCAGCUGAUGAUAAUAGUUGCUGCUAUAGUUCGUAAAUAUCAAAAGGUAAGGAAUAGGGAUGAUGAAAGGAUGCAAUUGAGUGGGGGAAAAAAUAAACUUAAUUAGCGCCAUCUUUUCCCAUCACAAAAGAUUAGUUUUGGUAUUGAAAAAGUUCCUAUGAAAUUUUGAUAAAUAGUAUGGGCUUUAUAGAUAUUUUGGUGUAAAAAGUGUGGAUUUAGACCAGAGGAGUGUGGAUUUUGCUCCACCCUAAAUAGUAGGGGCUUUAUAGACAUUUUGGUAUAAAAGGUGUGGAUUUAGACUAGAGGGGUGUAGAUUUAACCCCACCCUUUAAAAUAUAGAGAGUGAAGUACAACUAACACCAAACGCUAGGGAGGUUUAUAGCAAUAAACCUACCAUAAAUCUCUAAAAUAGUCCAAUUAUUCCUAAGUAAACAUACAAUAUUUGCUUUCAAUCAAAAGGGAUGUUGAGAAUCUUAAAAUUGUGGCUAAUGAAUAAUCUUGUCAUUGCUUUGAGUAAGAAUAUUUGGCACAUGUAAAGCUUGCAGAUGGAGUGCAAGGUAGUAAAAUAAUUUAUUGACAGGGAGUUUUUUUUGUUUUAAUUACCAUCAGUAUUGAGAUUCAAUCAAAAGGGAAUAUCAAAGAAUAAUUCAUUUAUUUAAUUAGCACCGUAAUCAAAAUGUAACAACUCUAAUAAAAAAAUACUUUUGAGUAUCACAGAAACUAAAGAUCAAGAAAUACUAACACUUAAUUUAUCACACCCAUGUCUAUGUAUAUGUAUGUAUGUAUAUAUAUAUAUAUAUAUAUAUAUAUAUAUAUAUGGUAAGUGGGAGGUGUUAAACCCAACACCUCCUACUCACAAUCCCUCCCCUAUAUGUAUGUAUGUACAUAUAUUAAUGCCAAAAUAUCACUUGCUGUAUACAAUUUGGAUGCCUCUUCCCCUGUCAUUUCCUAUCUCAAAGUUUGCAAGGCAUCCUUCAUGGCAUACAGUUUGAUGUACACACGCACAUAUUAUUGUUGUUGUUGCAUGAAGAGAUGAUCUAUAUGAACAAAACUCACAAGUAUAACAAUAUUCUGUGGUUUUACGGAGCAUGUAAUAUAAAGCCAAACAGUGACGGAGCCAGGAUUUUUUUCUAGGGUGGGCCAAAAUUUUUUCCUAAUAAAAUUAUCUUAAUAUAUUAUGUUCAAAAUAAUUUUCUUAUAUUUAAAUAUAUGACAUCUAAAAAUAUCAAAUAUUAAAUUUAAUUAUAAAGAUAUGUCUAUUCAUAAAUAUACGGUACAGUCAUAACAAAAACUAACAAAAAAAUAAUUUUUGAUUAAAUAUAUUAUAACAUCACAAACCAUCCAAUUUGCACAUUAUGAGAAGAUGCUCUCUAAUAUGUCACCUGUGCAUAUAUAUAUAUAUAUAUAUAUAUAUAUAUAUAUAUAUAUAUAUAUAACCAUGUAAUAUAAAUGUAACUAUUUUCAAUUGAAAAAAGAUAAAAGUUAUGUUAAUAUACUUUAAAAUUUCAACAUCUUUUCUUAGAAGUAAAUUGAGUUCUACGCUCUUUUAUAGAACUUAAUUCAUCUAUGAUUGAAUCACUGCUAAAUUUUUCAGUAACUUCCUUUUCUAUAUACACAGUUAGACAAUCAUUCAAGAAAUUAUCUUCCAUCUUGUUUCGGAGCUUUGUCUUGAUUAUUUUCAUAAUUAAAAAUGCCCGCUCUGUAGUUGCAGUUGAUAUAGGAAGAGUAAGAACAAGUCUAAUCAAUCUGUCAAUAAGAGGAUAUAUUACUAAUUUUCUUAUCUUCACCAAGCCUUGACAUAACUCAUGAAUACCAGAUAAUUCUUGCAAUUCAGGAUAAUUUGGAAUGCCGAGCUCAAAAUGUGGAAGUUCUAUUCUUAGACGUACUAGUUCUUGCUCCAUAAAAUCAUUCGGAUAGAAUUUCUCUGCAAGUUUACAAAUACAAUCAAUCUUGAACAACAUAAAUCCAUUUCUAGGAUCUAAAGUAGUGCUCAAAACAAGCAAUUCCAUGGUAUGAUCAUUAAACCUGCUAUAUAACUCUUGCAAUUGAUAAUCAAUUGUUGCAAGAAAUAUAUCCACUAGAUGACCAAUUCAUAUAUACAUAUAUAUAUCAACUCUCAUAAUAUAAACUAAAAUUGUAAAAAUUUAGGGGGGCCAAUUUUAUUUUACACACAUAUUUACAUAUUAUGAAUUAAAAUUUUUAAAAUUUAGGGGGGCCAUGGCCCCCCGCUGCUCCUCCUUGGCUCCAUCAUUGAAGCCAAACACAUGCUGGAUUAGUUAGUAAAGACGAAUCACUUAUAAUAAUUUAUGAUUCUGAGAAUAUGUUCUGGUCCAUGAUGGUGAUUAGAGUUGAAAUCAGCCAAAUCUAAUCUUGAAAGAAAAAAUGUAACAUAAAUAACAAUCGUGUAAUAAUUGAACAUAAGACAAUUAUAUUUUGUCCCACCCAGUGGCAAAGGUGCUUAACUAGCCAAUUGGUGUUUAUAGAUGAUGGAAAGGUAUUUACAAAUAACAAUUACAGUAAUCAAAUCUAUCUCCCAUCUCCCCUCCUCCCCACCCCUCCUAUGUUGUUGUCCAUUUGACACAAGAGUUCGAAUUUGGAGCUGAAAUUUGAUCACGCCGAUUAACUACUGAUUUUUCAUGGGAAAAGUGUAAUCAACAAUUCUUGUUUUGAAAAUAUUAUUUUUACAUUAUGAAUUUUUUCCUUCUCUCAAUUUUUCCCCUGACACAGAUGGGCCUAUAGUUUUGGCCUCGCUGUCCACGUCCAAUAGUCUGUAAAACAUGUAAUGCUCGUAGAAAUCCCACAAGCAUUUUGUGGAAUUCAAAAAGUCCUUGCAGCCCAAGGCAUGUUCACAUUAAAAAAUAAAUAUUUUUAAGAAAAUUUUUUGACAAAAAUUCAUUGAACCAGUGAUAUCGCAUGUACACUGAAAAUGGUUAGAUUCAUGACACAUAUAUAAAAAUUUAAUUUUAAAUUUAAACUCAAAUUAGUUAUCAUACAUCCAACGGUAAUAAUAUAUAUAAUGUUAGUAUAUGUAAGUACGAGUAUAAACGAAUCUAAUCAAUAAAAAUACCCUAGUACUCAGAUUUGUUUGAUUAUGUUAACAAGAUUAAAAUUUUGUUUAAAUUUGGCUUAUUUAUUUGACGAACAGAGUUUGAACUACCUUUUUAUCAAAUUUGAAUGUUAUCGAAUAUAAAACAUUAUUCAAAUUUGGUUCGACUAGUUAUCGAAUCAAACUUGAAUGGGCCCUUAACAAGUCGAACUCGAUCUGAGUAUUAAGUAACUUGAUUCACCUUUUAGCAUAAGAUUAAUGCAUAAAGUGUAAAUAGAAAACAGCUUUGAUAUACAGUGGCAGUUUCCAACAACGAUGCUUUUACUCGGGCAUUAGCUUUGAUAUAGGCUUUAGUAGAAAUAGGUGGUUCUGCCCAGUUUUUCAAACGCCAAGCAGAAGAAUCGAAACUGUUACUUGUCCUAGGCAGGAAAAUGUUCUAUUCAUGUUUAUAAGAACAGUACAAACUUCAUGGUCUAUUUCUUUUUUAUCUUACCAAAGGACAAAAUAAUCCACAAGAAGUAGGCUUCGAUUUCCCUUGGCUUAGGGUCUGUUUGGUUGGAAGUAAAAUAUUUUUCUUGAGAAAAUAUUUUCCGUGGAAGUAAUUUUUCAUGAAAAUCAUUUUCCUUUCAUCAUUUUCAGGUGUUUGGUUAGCUUAUUGAAAAUAUUUUCUUACUUCAUUUUUCUGGUGUUUGUUUAACCUUUGAAAUAUUUCACUUUUAUCUCUAUCUUUACUUUCUACACAUUAUAACUACAUACUUCUUCCCAUGCAAAAUAAGAAAAUUUAUCUCAUUGUUUAACUUUAAAAAAUCUUGGAGAAAUGUAUAUAUGAAUAAAAAAAUAUCUCCUUAAACAAUAAACAAAUUACUGGCCAUUUAGUGUCAAAUAUCAAUCACAUGCAAUGCUUAUUGUGACAUAUAUCUUGCACUCUCACUGCUGAAAGUUUCUCUAGAAAAGAAUGUCCCUGUUAUACAUAAUUAAUUACUAGCAUAGGAUGAGCAGGAUGAGGUUUUUUUUAUUUUGAAUAUACUAGGGGAGUUGGGUUGGGUUGGGUUGGGUGGUACGGGGGAGAGAGUGUACGGAAGAGGUUUUGGGUUCGAGCCCUCCUGUUUACACUAAAAAAAAAAAAAAAGAACAUACUACAAGAUGAUUUCAAUAAGUUUGGGACAUACUACAGGCAAGAUGCAUGCAUUUCGGAAAACAAUUUCAGUAAGUUUGGAAGGGAAGUCUGAAGUUGUUUUCCAUAAGAUGAGUGAAAAUAUUUUACAUAGGAAAAUAUUUUCAGUAACUUUUGUGCAACCAAACACGGGAAAUUAAGAAAAUAUUUUCCUGAAAAACAUUUUCACCCAAAACAAACGGACCCUUACUGUUGAAUUGAACUUGAAGCUUUAGAUCCAAUCACUAUAAACAGUUUCCUGAUAGAACUGCCUAGCAAGUAGCAAUGGGUUCAAUAUUUAGUUAUGUUAUCCUUUAGGUUCUAAAUGAUCUCAGGUUGGAAUAUAAAAGGCCAUCAUAAGAUUUCUUGCCAGUUUUAACUCGAAUCUCUGAGGACAUAUCAACUGGACUAACAAAUUGAAAUGGUCAUUUGGCCUGAUUUUUUUACUAGAGUUGCAGAAAAUGAAACCUCAAUUCGGUUUCCAGAAAUUUAGCUUAUUAAGUAGAAAGAAACUCAAGUUAGGCACAAUAACAAUUUGCACUAACAAGUUCCGUUCUUAAUGAAUUUCACGCACUAGUUCUUCAUCUAUUACAACUCUUUAUUCAUACAAAACAAAUUGAUACAUAAAAAUGCACCUGGUGCUUAAGUACAUCUAAGAAUUUCUACUAACAAGAAUGUGAUUUUUGCAACAGGUUUAUAGAAUGAAACACAAGCCAAGCCUGCCAGCUUGGAAAGACAUGAGGCUAGGUCAACAUACACGUAGCUUCUGGGUAUACCAAUCCUAUCUUGAGCCACAGGAUUCCCAAUUCUUUCUUUCACAGUCCACCGCCGAUACUAUCUUCAGUCACUGGAUUCCCAGUUCUUUCUUCCACAAAAGAUGCAUCCAAUUUUUUUUUUGCACAAGCCAUCCAUAUAUUUAUAAGAAUAUAUUCAACCUUCCGAUCUCGGCAACACUUUAAUGUUGAGUCGUUAAUAUAUGAUUUAUUAUACCUAAUAAACUCAUUUCCUUCCAAGUUACCUCCUCAUAAGUCGGAAUAAAUCGCCCCCACAAUCAAUCUCAUGUAUAUAUAUUUAUAUCAAUUUAUCAAUUAAUUCACCUCACAACGCAGUAACAAUUAAUAUCAAUAACUUAUACAUAGAAACCGUGGUCGUACAACAUGAUCAAUCUCUCACUUGAAGACACCAAGCACAUGAAACACAAGAACGGCCGAAUUCAUCACCAAAUUUAAGUUUCUGCAAAAGUAAUGUUUCAUGUCCAGCAGCACGGAAUAGAUAUAUCUCCUUCAUAAUUAAAGUGAAUGAAUACCUGUAUCGUUGAAGACCAAUUGAGCUUCCAACAGCUCCGAUUAAGCUUUACAACUGCACCGCUUCUAUUUCUCUGCUUGUGUUUCGAAUCUUGCCAUCAAUAUUUAAAGGUAGAUUUCGGUUUAGGGUUAUGUCAAAAUUAGUUUGAGUGACCAAUGUACCCUUUAUCAUCAUGGCCAAAAGGACAAAGGGACCGCAGAUGUUGGAAAACUUGCUAAAUUAGCCCCUGAUAAGUCUUUUUAUAAAUUUUUGGAAUUCCAUUUUUUGGGUUUAGAGCAAUAAUUUAGGAGCUAAUUACAGUAAACACCCAAUAGAAUUGGGGGUAGUUACACUUUGCCCCCAAAGCCCACAAAAACAUGCAAUCAAGGGACACUUUAUACCAAGAACAUUAUACUUAAAAGAUUCCAUUAGACCUUAGACAAAAAUUGACAGUUAAAAUCUUCUAAUACUCACACUAAUUUCAUUUUACCCUUCUAUAUUUUUUGUAUAUGACAUUUUAGAUACUAGUGUUAGUAUAAUUUGUAAAUUCUAUUAAAAGAAAACUCACAACUGUUAAAGAUACUCAUCUUUUACUUUGCUUUGUUUUUUUUUUCUGCCUUUUUUUCCUUUAGUUUAUUGUAUAUAACUUUUAAUUUUUUAGCUUCCACAGUCACUAUUAAAAACACUUAUAGAGAUAGAAAAAUCUUUUUUUUUUCUCCUUUACAAAGUGAUUUAUUUUUGUUUGUAAACGGAGGACUGUACAUGUUAUAUGAUUAUGAAAAUUUAAGAUAUGAUUAUGAAAAUCUUAAUUAGAACAAUCCUUAAUUUUCGGGUUAUAAAAUGUGUAUGCAUUAUUCAUGUAUUAAUCCAAUAGAGUUAAGGUUACUUUAUGUUGAUCUUACUAAUGUUAUUGUUGUUUAAAUAUUUAUUAACAACAUGGUAAUUCUUCUAUAGUUGGAUUUCAGGGAAGUUUCUUUUUUUUUUUUUAUUUCCAGAAAACAAGCAAAUUAAUAGCAGUGAGACCCAUCUAAGAUGCAUAUUCUGUAGGUUGGGUAUAGGCUGGGCAUUGGCAAGAUCAAGUUUCUUUAAUUCUUCAUAACUUUUCCAGUUUUUUUUCUUUCUAUAUACUUGAAUGGGUAAAACAAGGUCAUGGCCUCAUGGGUAUCCUCCUUUUGACAUGGUAUAAUUUCUUUUUUCAAUUGUAGAGCAAAUUGGAUAUGUUGUAAAAGGGGCAAAAAGAAAAAAGAAAAGAAAAGCUCACCACAUAUUGCGACCAUGUUGUCCCUAGAUUGUUGUUUCGAUUUGCACAAUAUUUGCAAGUAGCUUCUAACGUAGCUAAGAGUUCCUAAGGGAGUUUUGUCCUCUACAAUGGGUAGGUUUCCAAUUCCAUUGGCUUUGUAUUGCGUUGAAUUUGAAGGUUCUGAUCUAUUCACUGUGAAUUCUUGCACACAAUACAGGGUUGGAAUCUCCUAAUGUAUGAAGAAAAUGAUCAUAUAUGAACAUCUGCAGAGUACAAUUAAGGAUAUAACAAAAUGCUACAAGAUGUAAGCGUUACAUAGGUUGUUCGUGGCCUUGUUUGAAUUGCGAGUUCUUGUAAAAAAAAUUUUCUCAAUAUUUGUCAAUAUUGCUAAAGUAUAAUUUUUUUACAAAAGCUUCAAAAAAAUAAAAACUUACAAUCCAAACGAGGUAAGUGUCAACUUUACGGCUUUCCAAUAGAAUUAUUUCUGCCAAUUAUAACUGUCUUCGAGAAAGAACAUCUCGACAAAUUAAAUGGCAACUUUGCUGAUCUUUUCAACAAACAAUUGCAGGAAAAAUAGCAUAUUAAGCAGGGGAAGAAAAUCAAUUUACAUUCACAAUGAAUUUCAUACACGAGUUGUUAUUCUUCAAAGUACAAAAAGUAAGAAAAUGUAAAAAAUUUCAAUAAAGCAUUGGUUUGCUUCCCAUUCACACGAAAAACAUAUUGAUACAUCAUAUGCCUUCGGCGUGACAAGAAUAAUCUUUCCGAAAGUAAGCCUAAUACAAUGGCUGUUAUACUCAAUUCCUAGAGCUAACAAUGAAAACGUAACAUACUUAUAUCCAAUUUCUUUUGCACAAGCCAUCCACAUUCUUUCGCUCAAGCCACAAUUUCUUUGGCAAUCCACAUUCCAAUUUCUUUUGCACAAGCCAUCCACAUUCGUUUGCACAAGCCACAAUUUCUUUUGCACAAGCCCAACCUCAAUCCAAAUGGUAGAAACAAGGACGAAUUGCAAACAUAUUGUAAAGACAGGAACUGUUUUCGUCAUAUGCAAAUUGGCUGACAAGGUAGCUAACAUUGGUCCCAAGAGGGAUGAAUUCAACAUUAGUUAGGCAGAUAAGAAGUCGAAACUGAGAGAUGCUGUGGUGGCAUGUGCAACCAAAAGUCAUACCACAAAUAAUGACGUUUGUCAUUCGAUAUAUCAAUCGAAAUAUUUCAAUAUAUCCUAUAAAUCUAUCUCACGAGGCAGUAACAAUUAAUCUCAUCCAUAUAUUUUUUCUAAAAUAUACCUAUUAAUUCACCUCAUGAGGCAAUAAUAACUAAUUCCAUCAACUUAUACAAAGAAACCGUGGUCACAAAACCUAAUUAAUUUCUGGUUCGGAGAUGCCAAGCACAUGAAACACAACAAGAAUAGCACAAAACAUCACCAAAUCUAAAUUUCUGCAGAAAUAAUGUUUCACCUCCAACAGCACCGAAUGGGUACAUGUCUAAAACCAUGACUGCGCCGCUUCUACUCUCCUUGCGUUUGGAAUCACUCGGAAUCGAUAUUUAAACGCAUAUAUCCUCUUUAGGGUUACGCUAGAUGGACCACUAUACCCUUUAUUGUGCAAAUUGCUAAAACAGCCCCUUAGAAGUCAUAUAUUCGAUUGGUCUCAUCGAAAUUUGAAAUUGUCAUAUUUUUCCUUUUGAAUUAUCCCCAAAUAUUUGUCACAUACCCAAAUGGAUAAUUAAAUCCCUCUUGUUCAAUUUUUUACCCUUUAGGAUUCCCUCAUAUUUUACAUUUAUUAGUGGACCUCUUGAAUUUCAUUUGUUAUGGACAAAAGUUGUUUUGCAACAUAAAAAAAAAAAAAGGCUAAAACUUGCACUGAAUUGGUACUACGCACAAGAAGUUCAAAUUCCAAAAUAUGACAAAAGCUUUUGGGAUGGAGGGAGUUUAAGUUUUGUAGAUUUCAUAUUUAGAGUCCAAAAUUAAAGGUUUGUCACAGUAAAUACCUUUUUAUAUUAGUUCUGAAGUACUAGUAUUAGUUUAAAUUGUAAACUCGUUAAAAUAAAAAUUCACAAUUUUUCUGCGUACUCAUCUUUUCCAUUUCUUUUUUCUUCCCCUUUUUCUUACCCUCCUGACGUUUAUCAUUCUUUUUAGGGAUAAUUGCAGAAACCUCUCCUGAGAUUUCUGACAUUUGCACUGACCUCUCCUGUGGUUUGAAAAAUUACACUAACCUCCCCUGAGGUUACUAAUCCUUUGUAAAUUUAGUCCAAAUGAUUAAAAUAUUAUUUUAGAGAGUGAAAUUAGAAUUUUGUACCAGAUUUGCCCUUUGUUCUACAUAUCCAAUGAAUGACAAAGUAUUAUAAAUCAAUUAACAAUUAAUAAAUUUUAAGGAGUACAAUUUAUGGGCAAACACGCAUUACUCAUUUAAAGUACCAGUUCUUUACGAGUAUUUUGCUUUCAAAUAUUUAAUUUAUGAUAAAUAUAUCAAUAUUUGUAACUAAAAUUCAAAAAUUGUUAUAGUAAUAUUCUUGCAAAAAGGAAAUCAAUAGGUUAUUUAUUUAAUAUAAAUUAAAUAAUUUUUUUAAAAAAAUAAAUGCUCCAUAAAGUAUUAAUUUUUUAUAACUUUCAUCCAUUACACGAGUAAAGUAUUCGCUCUUUAUGUGCAUUUUAUUCUGAAUCAUUUAAUUUAUGUUAAAUACAUAAAUGUUUGUAACUAAAAUUGAAAAAGUGUUAUAUUAAUAUUUUUACGGAAGAGAGAUUGGUAGGUUUUGUAUUUAACAAAAAUUAAAUAUUUGAAAGUAAAUACAAAUCUGAAUUUGAGCGUAAAUAUUUGUAUUAAAUUAAAUGUUUGAAAGUAAAAUACCCUUAAAGAACCGGUACUUUAAAUAGUUACCGACUCUCUAUAGGCAAACACGUAUUACUCAUUUAAAGUACCGGCUUUUUUCGGAUAUUUUACUUUCAAACAUUUAAUUUAUGAUAAAUAUAUCAAUAUUUGUUAGUAAAAUUCAAAAAGUGUUACAGUAAUAUUCUUGUAAAAAAGAAAUCGGUAGGUUAUUUAUUUAAUAUAAAUUAAAUAUUUUUUUUUAAAAUGACCCAUAAAGUAUUAAUUCUUUAUGGCUUUCAUCCAUUACAUGAGUAAAGUAUUGACUUUUUAUGGGUAUUUUAUUUUGAAUCAUUUAAUUUAUGUUAAAUACAUAAAUGUUUGUAACUAAAAUUAAAAAGUGUUAUAUUAAUAUUUUUACGGAAGAGAGAUUGGUAGUUUUUGUAUUUAACAAAAAUUAAAUAUUUGAAAGUAAAUACAAAUAUGUAUUUAAGCGUAAAUAUUUGUAUUAAAUUAAAUGUUUGAAAGUAAAAUACCCAUAAAGAACCGAUACUUUAAAUAGGCAAUGCAUAUUUGCCUAUAAACUAUACUCCUUAAAUUUUAUUAAUUAUUAAUUGAUUUAUAGUAUUUUGUUAUUCAUUGGAUAUGUAAUACAAAGGACAAAUUUGAUAAAAAAAAUUCUAAUUUCACUCCCUAAAACAAUAUUUUAAUCAUUUGGACUGAAUUUGCAAAGGAUUAGUAACCUCAUGGGAGGUUAGUGUAAUUUUUCAAACCACAAGGGAGGUCAUUGCAAAUGUCAGAAACCUCAGGGGAGGUUUCUGCAAUUAUCCCUUCUUUUUAACUAAUGUAAGCAUUGAAUUUCCACAUUCGAUAUUAGCUUAAAAGUGAUUUAUGUUUGCUAAUAAAUGGAACUACCCAAGUCAUCAUCUUGACAUGUAUAAAAUAAUUAACAGGAUUUAAAGGUAUUGAUUAAGCAAACUGCAGCUAGGAAAUUUUCCUUGAAAAAUAACCCAAAAAAAAAAAAAAAACAUCAUCAUAGAAAAAUCAACCAACAUUUUGCUGAGUCCAAAUAGGACCUUUUUUUUGCUGGGAUUAAGGGUUAGUAAAUUUGCCGAAAAAGUCUUUGGGCUUUGGUAAUAAAAAAUAGGACCUUUUUUUUGGAGGAUCAUCCUAAUCAACCAAAAGAAAGAAUAAAAAGUAACCAGACAUCCAAUCCACAACGAAACAUCUACUGGAGCCUGGAGUUUGAGCAAAUCAGCUUGUGACUGUCUGCAGAGGAAAAACUACCAACAACUAGUAGAGAAAUCCAGAAUUCCAGAUAAAGAAACAUCACUCGCAAAACUAGAUUUCCAAUAAUCAAAAACAUAAGAUGCCCUAUAGAUAGUCAUUAGCACAAGUCAUUUAACUUGAUCCAUCAACCUGCAAUUGUUUUUGGUUGGCCACUAAUACCAUCAAGCAAAUCAGACAAACGUCAGACUGAACAGAAAUACCGAUGUUAACUGUGUUAAGAUGGCUAUAAUGGACGUUUAAUGAAUCCAUAAUGAGGCAAACCCAUCCCACUUAGGGGCCAGAAACAAUAGCAGAACAUCCACUGAAAACAUCCGAAAGAAGCCUAAUAACAGACCAUCUUUCCUCCACAAAAACCCCAUCCCAAGUGAGAGUAUGCCCUUCUACAAGGGAAUACAAUAAGAACGAACUAGAAAUUGUCCUACAAAAGUGAAGGAAAAUGUAAGAACAGAAUGGACUCGCUUAGAUAA